rnacentral:ncRNA from 1 species
AUCAGGGGUGCUGGCCAAAGCCGGCUGAGAGGAACAAAAUGUUCUAACCCUUUUAACCUGUUUGGGUAAUACCAGCGUAGGAAGAUUUGUAA